GAUGAACGCUGGCGGCGUGCCUAAUACAUGCAAGUCGAACGCACAGCGAAAGGUGCUUGCACCUUUCAAGUGAGUGGCGAACGGGUGAGUAACACGUGGAUAACCUACCUCAAGGUUGGGGAUAACAUUUGGAAACAGAUGCUAAUACCGAAUAAAACUUAGUAUCGCAUGAUACCAGGUUAAAAGGCGCUACGGCGUCACCUAGAGAUGGAUCCGCGGUGCAUUAGUUAGUUGGUGGGUAAAGGCGUUACCAAGACAAUGAUGCAUAGCCGAGUUGAGAGACUGAUCGGCCACAUGGGACUGAGACACGG
rnacentral:rRNA from 1 species